rnacentral:rRNA from 1 species
CCUACGGGGUGCAGCAGUGGGGAAUAUUGGACAAUGGGCGAAAGCCUGAUCCAGCCAUGCCGCGUGUGUGAAGAAGGCCUUCGGGUUGUAAAGCACUUUCAGUGGGGAAGAAAGCCUUGGGGCUAAUACCCUCGAGGAAGGACAUCACCCACAGAAGAAGCACCGGCUAACUCCGUGCCAGCAGCCGCGGUAAUACGGAGGGUGCGAGCGUUAAUCGGAAUUACUGGGCGUAAAGCGCGCGUAGGCGGUCUGAUAAGCCGGUUGUGAAAGCCCCGGGCUCAACCUGGGAACGGCAUCCGGAACUGUCAGGCUAGAGUGCAGGAGAGGAAGGUAGAAUUCCCGGUGUAGCGGUGAAAUGCGUAGAGAUCGGGAGGAAUACCAGUGGCGAAGGCGGCCUUCUGGACUGACACUGACGCUGAGGUGCGAAAGCGUGGGUAGCAAACAGGAUUAGAUACCCGUGUAGUA